rnacentral:rRNA from 1 species
AUUGAACGCUGGCGGCAGGCCUAACACAUGCAAGUCGAGCGGAUGGAGGGAGCUUGCUCCUGGAUUCAGCGGCGGACGGGUGAGUAAUGCCUAGGAAUCUGCCUGGUAGUGGGGGAUAACGUCCGGAAACGGGCGCUAAUACCGCAUACGUCCUGAGGGAGAAAGUGGGGGAUCUUCGGACCUCACGCUAUCAGAUGAGCCUAGGUCGGAUUAGCUAGUUGGUGGGGUAAAGGCCUACCAAGGCGACAAUCCGUAACUGGUCUGAGAGGAUGAUCAGUCACACUGGAACUGAGACACGGUCCAGACUCCUACGGGAGGCAGCAGUGGGGAAUAUUGGACAAUGGGCGAAAGCCUGAUCCAGCCAUGCCGCGUGUGUGAAGAAGGUCUUCGGAUUGUAAAGCACUUUAAGUUGGGAGGAAGGGCAGUAAGUUAAUACCUUGCUGUUUUGACGUUACCAACAGAAUAAGCACCGGCUAACUUCGUG